rnacentral:rRNA from 1 species
CGGCGCACGGGUGCGUAACACGUGGGCAAUCUGCCCUUCGAUGGGGAAUAACCCCGGGAAACCGGGGCUAAUUCCGCAUAACAUUCCGGAAACUAAGGUUUUUGGAUUCAAAGCCGUAAGGCGUCGAAGGAGGAGCCCGCGCACGAUUAGCUAGUUGGUGAGGUAACGGCCCACCAAGGCUAUGAUCGUUAGCUGGUCUGAGAGGAUGGCCAGCCACACUGGAACUGAGACACGGUCCAG